rnacentral:rRNA from 1 species
CAAUAGCGUAUAUUAAAGUUGUUGCAGUUAAAAAGCUCAUAGUUGGAUUUCGGGGUGGCCUGCCUGGUCCACCGCAAGGUGAGUACUGGUCAGCCGCCCUUCCUCUCGAAAGCCCCGACUGCUCUUCAUUGCAGUGGUCGGGUAGUUCGGGACGUUUACUUUGAAAAAAUUAGAGUGUUCAAGGCAGGCUAUCGCCUGAAUACAUUAGCAUGGAAUAAUGGAAGAGGACCUCGGUCCUAUUUUGUUGGUUUCUAGGGCCGAAGUAAUGAUUAAGAGGGACAGUUGGGGGCAUUCGUAUUUAAUUGUCAGAGGUGAAAUUCUUGGAUUUAUGAAAGACGAACUAGUGCGAAAGCAUUUGCCAAGGAUGUUUUCAUUAA